rnacentral:misc_RNA from 1 species
AGCUGGUUGUAAAGAAAUACC